AUUCCUUUCAGAUGUCAACCUCAAUUAGGAAGCUAAACUAUAUAAAAACAUGGUCAGAUUAAAGCAUCCAUUUCAUCCUGCAGGGUUCUGUUUUCUUAAUCAUCUGAUAGCACCAUGGGAAAAUCGGCACAUUGGACAGGACGACUGAAUUGAAUGGUGACCACAUCUAUGAGACUAUCGUCCAGCAUGUAAAUCUCUGUUAUUUUAUCAACAUAUGAAUGAAGCAACUAGUGAUUGAAAACUAUAAUUGUUUUUACGCCAGCUUGGACAUGAGGAUUGGAAUGAAGAUUCUCAUCCAGCAACGAGAAUUCUGAUUCAUAGAACACCUACACAUACGAUAUUGGAGGACAGACCGACAAGACGACAUUCUGGCUCAGUCAGGUAAGAAUCCCCUGCAUACCAAGAUUAGGACUUAAAUAUAGGAAUAACUGUCCUUUUUGAGUCGAUUAAUAAUAAAAAGGCGACCCAGAAAUGUCCUCAGUCCUCAAUAUUCUUAGUUUGUCACGAAGCAAUAAAUUUUGUUUUCUCAUUAUUCUUAGUUUGUCACGAAAAAAUAAAUUUUGUUUUUAUUUGAAGACUUUCACAAAUCAUAAAUUGGAAACUGUUAAAGCAGCAUAUUGAGUUUAAAUUAUUUAUCCUACUGGUUUUCAUUCAGUUAACUAAAU